rnacentral:rRNA from 1 species
ACUAGGACGUUGAUAGGUUGGGUGUGUAAGUGCUGUGAGGCAUUGAGCUAACCAAUACUAAUUGCUCGUGAGGCUUGACCAUA